rnacentral:hammerhead_ribozyme from 1 species
GUCCAGCCGAAGAGUCACAAAUAGAACGAAACGCGAGUCCUGGAU